GGCGGCGGCGCCGGGGGUCUGGGGGCUUGGUCCGUACCCCGCCCUGCUCCCACCCAGAGCGGCCGGGGCUCGGCCUGCCGCCGGUGGCUGUGCCACCCCGCGCCUCUCGCAGGGGAGCAAGGCCGGCCCGGAGCCGCCGGGGGGCUCGGGCCCGGGGCGGGAGGGAGCGGAGCCCCGUGUGAGGCGGAGCCUGGGGGCGGGAAGGAGACCCCGGCCCUUGUGCCAGGGCGUCCUGCAGGGUGGCUCGGGAUCCCCCUCGCUGGGCAAAGGGGACGCGACCUGGGCUGUCAGAGGCUUUGUGUAACUUUACAGCGUGUGGAAAUUUCAUGGGAGGUUUUAUUUCUGUUCAAGUCCUUUAUCCACUUCAGCAUACAACAGCUACACAGCGUGCUAGUACAGCGUUAGUGCUAGCUAGUACAGCAUAGCUAGUACAGCUAGUAGACACAGUCUUGUAUAUUUUUAAUUGUAGCAAAAUCAUUUGGGUUCAGUAGAGCAUUUUAAAGUCCAGCUUUUUUGCAUAGGACAAGACAGUCUGGAGGUAGCGAAGCCUCGUCCCUAACAGCAAACGCAGAUUUAUUCCCUUUGACCCCUGCCAUAGGACAAGAUGUACAGCUUUCUGUGUUCCUGAAUGAUAAUACGUGGCUGGAGUGAGGGAAAAACAUUCAAGGCAAAAAAUAGCCUAGCUUAGAUGGGCGAAGCUUUAGUUACCAGAACCUAUUUUUAGGGCAUAAGUUGAAUUUAAGUGGCUCUAAUCUCUAUAUGGCAAACUGGCACAGGUUUUUUGUUGUAUUUUAUUUAUAACUUGCUUCUCUUUUCCAGGGAAAUAAGAUUAGCCUCAUUAUUUCCAUUAUUAUUAUUUUGUCUGUCAUUAUUAUUCAGUCCAUCCAUCCACCCACCCAUUUAGGUCUUGUCUGGAAUUACCUAGGAUUAUCCUGCUAAUGCAUGUUGCCUUCACGCAGAAUAUAAUUUUUGUUGCUAAGAAACUGCUUUUGCAUAACAGACAGCGUGGGCCUAAUUUUCACUUCAGCAGCUGUUAAAGUCAACGGGAGCAGCAGGUGCUCAGCGCUCCUGAGAGCCAGAGCCAAAGUGUCCGUGGCAGAAUUCCCGCACAAGGUCUGACUGUGCCUGCGAGCGUGCCACCUACACGUGCGAUGUGCUCGGGGACGCAGCGGCUUCGCACGUGAAGGGAAAAGGAGCAAAGGUGUCUGAGCGCCGUCCGUGUGUCCGUGCUGUGCGAGCACGGUUUCCUGCACACCAGGACAGCAGGAGCGGCUGGGUGCACUGGAAUAUUUCCUAGGUGGGAGUACUCCCAUGUCCCCUCUGCACGCAGAUGUGGUAAUACCCCUAUGGUCACAAGCUAAAAAUUGUGUUCUCGUACGUAAAUAGCUGCCGGCAAUGAGUUUGGGUGCGUGUGAUCCAUUUUAAUAUUAACGUGUCAGCCUUCACGUGCGUGUCUGUGUGCGGCAGCUCACUGCAUGCAAAUAUCCAGCGCUGAACGCGGGAGCGGGCUGCGCAUGUGCGGGGCUGCGUACCUGCACGCGUCUCUGUCCCCACUUGCCAACAUCCAUGUGUGAAAUCCACAGCACUUAGGCUGUUUAUGCUGCGGGUCAAGGCACAGACACAGUGACAUUUCCUCUCCCUGCUGGCUCUUUCAUGUUGCUAUGGUGAUCAGAUGCACUCACACUUUUAUCUGAAGUAUCUAUUAACUAAAGCUUCCUAUUAAUUACCCCUCUGUAGAAUGCAUAUGGAAUUCACCGGAACACCAGGUAGGCUUUUUAGGUCCCAAAUUUACAUCAGAGCCUGCCCCCGGUUCUUGGGUGGGCUGCCAGAAACAUCACAGGGUGGAAGUGCAGUUGAUAAAAUGUUUUUUCCAUUAAGAAAUUGCUUAGUAAUGAGAAAGAGAAUAAUAAGCACAAGGACUAGUGUCACAACAGCCUCUCCCUGUAGAUCCGUGAAUAUGAAACGUACUCAAGCCUCAACACCUUGCCCCGACCCAGCUGUAAAUGGAUUAUUUGAUCUGGGAAGUCAAAGACAGCCGAACGUGGGGGCACCCUCGCUGCUCGCCUGGAGCAGAUGGGCUGUAGCUGCAUCCUGGAAGAUCUGGGGCAGGAUUUUGACUCUGCGAGGGGCAGAAACCAGAGACACCCUGGUUCGUCCUGAGCAAAUUCCUUUGUCACCUCGAUUCUCCUGUAUCCUUUGGCUUCUCUUACUGAGGUCACCACCGAAAGAAUUAGUGUCCCGAACUAGGGCACCGGGGUGAUGGAGGCUCUCCUGAACCAGCUUGGCAUCAGAGGUGCAGCUCCUGCUUCCACUGGCACAGCAAUUGGGUAUAAAAGAUCUGCCAGUGUGUAACACCCCAUCUAAAAGUGAGUGAAGUGCUGCGAUGGGCGACCGUACGCAGGGGUGCUUCCCGUGUCCUGCAGAGCUCGAGCUACUGCUGCUUGUCAGAGAAGCUGCCAGGAAACCUUCCUCUGCAAGUGGCAGCUACAAGUUACUCAGGGUGGAUCUGAACAUGUGGGGUAGAAAUGAAGGGCUCAAAACUGUCACGUCCCUCAUCUACAGAAUACGUCCUCCACAAGGCCCUGGAGACUCCUGUGAAGGUUUUGUAGGGUAAUGCAGAUAAAGCCCCAGCCAGUAUUCUGAGAAUAUAGAGGGAAAUUAAAUACCCACCAGAGGAAGAGGAGAUAAAAAAUGAGACGUUUUGACAGGACUGCCAGAUUGUGUGGCAGGAGGGUUAAUUUUUUUUGAAACUGCCAUUUCAUAUUCCCUUUCAGACAAGCUGAAUUACACAGUACUGGCUGCUGGAGGAGUUGCAUAAUUUUCUUCACAGAAAUAAUGACAGGGUACUUAAAAAGCAAGUGAAUGGACAGCUAAAGUAUUGGGCAGAGACUUAAGAAAUCUAGGCUGAGACCCCACCUUUGCUAGAGACUCCUUUGGUGACCUUGGGCUGGUCAUUUAAUCUUCCUGUGUCUUAUUUCCCUGCCAAUAACGGGAAUAACAAUUGUUCUUUGUCUGUCUGGCUUAUUUAGGCUGCAAACUUGGAAUUCACAGGUUGCAUCUUCUGUGCUUAUAGGGCAACCAAAGCCAAAGAGCUUCAAUUCAUGCUAAGGUGACUGAGACAACCAUAAUGUACAAAGUAGGUAACAAUAAAAGGGCUUGGAUAUAUAAUUUGGAACAUUUUUAUCAUGAAAGGCUUAAAAGUUUCUAAUCCAUUGUUCCUCAUCUCUUCCCUCAAAAUGCGGAGAAGUUUGGAUCUGUGCUAAGAGUUCCUAAAGCAUAUAAAUAAUUUAGAAACCAAGUCCAUGCUGAUUUACUGAAUCCCCGAGGUACUUCUGAGACUGUGAGCAGAUAAUUUAGAUGCCUGCAAAAUUCUCUGCCAGGUCUUUGUGCUCAGUCUGUCACAGCAUUAAGGGUUAGCAGCAGACUGAGUUGAGAUCCUCAUUUUUUUAAGUUUAAAUUUAGGUUUGCAGGCAGCUGUGUACCAAGUUUUUCUUAAUCUCUUCAACUUUUAGGGGUUUGUCUGAUUUCCAGAAGUCAGCGAAGAUGGCUUCUUGCUGCCAGGUCCAGCUGAAGACAAGAUCUUCUAUAUAGUUAAGCAACUACAUGAGAAAUUUGCUGUACAAAGGGAACAAUUCUAAAAAUAGCGAGAAAUGGCACCAUGACAUUAGCAGGAACAAUGACCCAAUACCCAACCUGCUGCAGGGGCUUUUGUCCUAUAACUACUUUCAUCAUUAAGGCUUGUGAUGACAUUAUUUUCUGUGCUUCUAUAGGGCAUGAGGCCGCAGCUACCUGGAAGGAAGGAUUUUGAUGAGACUGCAGAAGAUGAACAAGCAGGAGAGGCACGUCGGAGGCACCAGGUGAGGCAGAGACUGGCAUAAGAAGUUGCAACAGGUCAAUAGACACGUAGGAAACAGGACCCGCUCAAUACCAGCUGCAAAGAAAGAAGUAUUAGGACCCACUAAGAACCUGGAUGUUAUUGACUGGCUUCAAGGACUGUAAAGUAUGUUUGUAAACUACAAAGCACAGAGAUUUGGAGGUCAGUGGACUGUCGUCACCCUGUAGACAUCUGCUCUAAUACGCUCUGGUGCUCUGCUGCACCAGCUCUGCAAAUAAUUGUUCAAGUAGGGUUCUGUUUUCAAGUGACCUAGCUGAAGGAAAAGCUGAAAGGACUUCAGUUUCUAAAUCACAUACACCAUAAUAACAAUGACAAGCGUGCAAUGCUGAGCAUGUCCUGUUUAGGUUAAACAAGAAACAGACAAAAUGCUUUACAGCACCAACAACCCAAAUUAUUAAAGACAUUUCAGUACUUACUUUUACCACUGGCCUCGGCAGGAUUCAGGAGUUUCAUUUUCACACCUAAAUACCUUUGAAAAUAGAGGCUCUGGGUGGUAUCUAAAUUUUGCUCUUUUCAUGUUUUAAAACCCUGUUGGAAGCAAAGGACUAGCCUUUCAAAACAAUCCCUUCCAGGCAUCAAGGUACAAGCAGGGUCUCUGAAUGCCCAGCAGACCUCUGUGCUCUCAGCAGAUGGUGUUUGAGUCCUAACUCUGCCACAGGUUUAUUGUGGGGUCUUUGAGAAUAGUUGAUUUCUACGUGAAAUCACGUUGAUGUUAAAGUGGCUGAGUGCCGUGCUUAGGGAGGGCUGCUCAGGCUGCAGGAUGCGCCCCACAGCUUGGUUCUUCACACACACUCCUGUUGCUUCACUCAGAACCCAAAUUUGGUUAACUUCAAGGAGAUGGGAAAUGAGGAACAGAAUAUGUCACGAUACGACGUCCAGCAUACCAAAGCACUUAAAUAUGUACUUAGCUUUCAGGUCCGGAGCGGCUGCAGCGCAUACAGGGCUCUCUGUGGGCAGCGGGACAGCUGCUCCAUUCCCAGCCCAUCCCCUGCCAGCAAGGGUGCAGGUCUGUGCUGUAUGGCAGGCUAUGAUUUGUUGUCACCUUUAUAAAUCAGAACAACAAAAUCACUAGUCUUCCACACAGAGCCAGACCACCGAGAGCAGCGCUUUCUCCUCAGUGACAUCCUCCUUCAUGUCUUCUUCUGUUAUCCUUCCUCAGUUGUUCUCAUUCAUUCCACACUUGUUUCUCAUUUCAGGAAUGGAUGCUGCCCUUUGCAGUGCAAAAACCCCCAGUGUUCUGUGUGAGGCUGUGUCAAAUCCCACUAUAAUCAUCUGUCCAAUUUUGUGACUGUAGCUGUGAGUUUCUGCUCCAUUUUCUCACUCAGGAGACUAUAUAUGCCUAUAAAAAUUUGGAUAAUGUUUUUUUCAGGGAUAUCAGGGCUCAGCAGGGUCUCCUUUUUCCUUACCCUAUGAUAAACUUCUCCAGGAGUGCUCUGUCAACCUGUCUCUCUCUCAGUUGUAUUUUGGUCUGACUAAAAUAAGCAAAUGCAAUAUAUACUCGGGAAUGCUAGAGAAAAGGAAUCAGUGACGAAAAAGAUAAUGAUAGUGCCAAAUUCUCUGGAAUCCUACUGAGAGACUGAUUUAAGCAAGAAAAACAAAACCUUUUCACUGUUUCUUUUUCUCUGAACUUGUUGAUGAGCAAUCUUUAUUUCACCCCAGGUUUAGCUUUGCUUCCACCGCUCAGCUUUUUUCUGUUAAUACCUCACAUAUGGCACAAAUAAGGUGUGAAAGGACAAUGCUGGCUCACCUCCAUGGAAAGGAUCUUGCUUUAUUCCUUUCGACUGCCAUUGUCCGAGUGAGGCUUACUUACCUCAGCCACUGAAAUCAAACGAGGGACAGCAUCCCUCCCAUCUUCAAACCAAGCCUGUUAAAUAUACUUUUGUAAGCAGUUGUAAAUAAAAGGGAAAGAAACAAAAGUAUCCUUCAACAGCCUCAGCUCUGCAGAGCUGCUGUGGUGAAAGGCUCCUUUCAUAGAAGGAGAAAGAGCGUUCAGCGAAAGGAGAGGGUUUGCUGCUGCUGACAGAGGUUGUGCCCCAUGCGAGCUCACAGACAGCAGUCCAGUCCCUCCCUCCCUCCCUCUUUUUUUUUAAACAUAUGUGCUUUCUAUGGACACUUUAAUCAAACUCCAGAUGGGUUGUUUCAAUCUGGGGAUUUGUGCUGCUCAGGAGAUAACAGUCCAUUGUGCCAGCCUAGGUGUGUUUGUGAUAACCAGAGCUGAUACCAGGAGAUGUCCAGGUGGUCUUAUUUAACAGGGGGUAUUAGUGAUACUGCCAUUGUCCAGGAAAUCAGAUAAAACCACGGCCCAGGUGUUACCCUACACCGUGUUUGUGUAAUGACAUUGCCAACUGCUGAUUGCUACCUACAUUAAAAUAGAGACCAAACACUGCAGAAGGGCGAUAUUUUCUCGUACAAGAUUGCCAUCAUCCCCAAACUUCCCGGGGUGCACCAUUUAAAGCGCAAAAUUUAAUCUGAAUAUAAAGUGGAACAGCAGUGAGCAUGCACCCCUUGUUCACACUGAACGCAGCUUUUCUCUGAUACCUGCCUGUUCCUGGCCUUGGAUUUCCUAAACAGAGGCAUUUCCUUUAAACCGUUGUGUAUUUUCCUCUCUGCCCUACCACAGAGUGUUCUCAAAUGAAAACGCUUUGGGGGGCAAGACAGUUUUUAGAAAUAAGCUGCCUAGGACAAUUCAAUAUUCUGCCAAGGAUAAUUACAAGAGAGAAUGAAUUGUAAAGAUGAUGACCUUGAAAGAGAGAAGAUAGUUUGGGAAAUGCUAACCUGGACUGUAAUUUCAGGUGACAAGAACACUUUACAGCCCUUUUUCUGGAACGAUGCUGCCCAGCACAGAGAUACACCAGGUCCACAGAGGGAUUUGCCACAAAUUAUCGCUAGACAAUCACAUAAUAAUCAAGAUGGAAAAAGUAACUGCUCAUCUUGAGCAAGGGAUGAGGUCCUCUGCUGUUUAUACACAUGCAUUCCCUCUUUGGAGCGAGGUACUUAGUAGAAAACAUAAAUUUCAGGCUCAGAGGUGCGCGAGGCUUUUGUCUAGACUUCAGAUAGCGUGAUCUAUCUCUGUAGGGCCAUAUUUCUCAAUGUGAUAUUUUUCAGGAUGGGAGCUGCCACUUCUAGUUUGUCCCAAAGAUUUCAACAGUGUGGAAGCUUAUGGCUCCUUGUAACCGUGGCAGACGAACCCCAUGACGCUGAGAGGCCGCUGUUGAUUCUUUGGCACUGUUUAUAUAGAUAGGAUCUAAACUUAGCUACAGAACAUGGUGAAAAAAAGCCUGGUUAGAAAGAGUGGGGAUGCAAGAGCUUAGCCUCCGGCUAUCUUAGGAGAGGCUGGCCCAUCACAGAGAGAUCCCCAGCUGCACUUCCAGGCUGUAAAUUAAACAAACAGUAUUUCCUAUAUACCAGACCACAGGGAUGGUAGAAGGAACAGUGUGGCCUUAUUGCUGUUAUUUCCUUUGGUUUCAAUCUCUGUCCUCUGCCCCCCACCUCCUUCUCAGACUAGUGGUGCCCACUUUACCCGAUUUGUUAUUUAUUACAAUGGUUUAAAGAGAGGCAGGGGGGAAAAUGCUCAGUGCAAAUUAUAUUUUGAGCUGUUGUGCUUUGCCUUUUUGGCAGAUAAUAAAUCUCUCUGGCAA